UGAAAAAACGGUUUCUCCUCGAUUUAUUUAACAUCCGGAUUAGAAAGCGGUUUAUUUAUUUUACCUGCCGUUAAUACCGAGGAGGAGGAAACUUCUUCAACUCCUGCACUGUAGUACUGACACCUGAAUACAGUGUUCAUGCAGCACUAGAGGAAUGGGGAAUAUCCUGAUAUUAGUACCCUCUACAGUUCUCAAACACUGCACUGGUGUUUUAUUGUUAGACUAGGAACUCCUGAGGAACUCGUCCCCUAAACUCAUUCUGGUCUCCUCAACCCUGAGCUCAGCAACUGCCGUCAAAUCAGUGGAAAGGAUCACCUUGGGUAUCUGUGGACCUUCUCCCAAAACUCAUCACCACACUGAUGGACUGACGGAGAGAAAUGAAGAUCUCGAGCAGGGACACACAGCGGAACAGAAGAGCGCCUGUGCACUUCCCGCGACCGCCUG